GCCAUGCGCGCCUUGCGGACUGGCGCUUGCAUCUUCCGCUCCCCUCUGCUUCACGGAUUGGAGACCCCAACGGCCCGGGGAAACGGAACGCGCACAAAGACGCUUCGGCAUGGCUGCAUGCUGAGACUUAUGUAAGGAAGCCAGAUGUUUGCCAGAAGACCUAUGAAGGCUAACUUGUUUGCCCAGAUUUUAAGAACUCGGGUAUUAACAGUUUAGUAAGAACUUUCCUUUAUGACCCUCCUUCGAGCUGUGAUACAGUGUUUCCAAAGGGCCUAUCAGUACCAACAUGCCUUCUGGCUGGCUUUUGUGCCAGCCUGUAUUGGACUGACUUGUGGGUACGAUGAAAGACUCAGGGAUGUCAUCAAUUUUGAAAGAGAGAUGAAAAAGUCAGAAAUGGAGACCAGGACCAAAACACAGUCAGACUUCUUCCUCAUCUUGCUUGUCAUUUUUAUAUUUGUUUCAGCCAGGCAGGACCAAAACCGAGGAUUUUAGGUUUUGGUCCUUUGCAUUGCUGGCUUGCAGGAAUAGACAAGUAUCAAAUGCCUCAAAGAUUUUCCAGGAUCUGAAAAAUAAAGGGCCAUGGAAUUUGGAGAUCUGACUACAUGACUCUUCCAUGCAGCUGGGAAGAGAAUCACCGAAAACUUCUGCAAUGCUCUUCAAUCCUGUUGUGGACAAUCUGUUGUGCACUACUUUGCCUGUGUCUAGCUCCUCCUUGAAGUUCUCUCUUCUUCCCAGGUCAGAAGACUCCAAAAUGUAAGGGAAAUUGGAGCUAGAAAGUGACAGUGAUGUUAU